GUGACGUUACCAAACUGUUGCCUCGGCGGGAUCUCUGCCCCGGGCGCGUCGCAGCCCCGGACCAAGGCGCCCGCCGGAGGACCAACCAAAACUCUUAUUGUAUACCCCCUCGCGGGUUUUUUACUAUCUGAGCCAUCUCGGCGCCCCUCGUGGGCGUUUCGAAAAUGAAUCAAAACUUUCAACAACGGAUCUCUUGGUUCUGGCAUCGAUGAAGAACGCAGCGAAAUGCGAUAAGUAAUGUGAAUUGCAGAAUUCAGUGAAUCAUCGAAUCUUUGAACGCACAUUGCGCCCGCCAGUAUUCUGGCGGGCAUGCCUGUCCGAGCGUCAUUUCAACCCUCGAACCCCUCCGGGGGGUCGGCGUUGGGGAUCGGCCCUUUACGGGGCCGGCCCCGAAAUACAGUGGCGGUCUCGCCGCAGCCUCUCCUGCGCAGUAGUUUGCACACUCGCAUCGGGAGCGCGGCGCGUCCACAGCCGUUAAACACCCCAAACUUCUGAAAUGUUGACCUCGGAUCAGGUAGGAAUACCCGCUGAACUUAAGCAUA
rnacentral:rRNA from 1 species